CCCAGCCCCGCCAGGGAGGCCCCUGAGUUGCUCUCGCAAGGGGAGAGGGAGGCGUUUUCCCUCCCGUCAGCCCGCUCCGGGCCGGCCGGCCGUGGAUCUCCGUACCCCGCCCCCCCAACUCAAUCCACCCUCGUCCCUCCCUGCUUGCUUUAUUUAAACAGGCAACUAGAUCUACAUGGACACGAUAAUUCAGCUGGUUUUGUCUUUGGCAUUUUCUGCAGGACCCCAAGAGAAAGAACUUCCACUCCGUUCUCCCUCCAGAAGUGGCAUCCUUCAUCUCUGUCUGUCCAAGCCAAUUAUACAGAUCCUUGGAGUUCCAACAGGGUCUGAGUCAUUGGAACCGAGAACACCUGGCUGAAACAUGCCUUAUAAUUAGAAAGGAUUUUUUCUUUACCGUUUCUUUCUUUUCUUUCUUUUUAAAAGAGGGCUGGAAUGACCGUCCUUGACUAGGGCAGAGAAGCUGGGGUGAGGAAAGGGAUAGACCAUCACCAGGGCCCAGCUUGCGGCCCUUUACAGACAGAUCUCCCCAAGUCGGACUUGCUUCCUUUCCUCGGCCUUUCGGCUGCCUCCUCCUCCUCCGUUCGUUUGGUCCUUCCCCCACUGUCUUCUCCUCUGUUUAAUUAAAGUUCAGCGACUCCACUUGCCUCUCCUCAGAAAGCCGAAACCAGACAGUCCAGCAGCCGCGGGCCGAGCGGUCCCAGCACAACCACCGGCCCAGCCGGCUGGGCCUCCCCUGGCCCGCCUCCAUUCACCGGCGCCGAUCUCCGAGACCCCGGUCCCUGGGCCAUCCACCGUCCCGCAGGCCUCUCCACUUGCCCAAGCUCUCAGCCACCGGUCGGCUGACUUAGAAGGGGCUUCUGGGCUGCUCCCACCAACUCCUGCCUGAUUUCCCAAAGUCCAGCGACCUCCAGUCCUCUUUAGGGGGGAAAUAGCACCACCCAGACACCUCUGCACUGUAUUCUCAGCAGGAAACUCGCGAAGAAGAAGAAGAAAGGCGGCUUAGAGUCCUGUUUACAUCUCGGUCUACACAUCCCUUGGCGGCUGGAGAGUUUAUUUAUACCUCCCACUAUAACUCUCUCUGUUUGGAGGCACUGGUGGCUCUAUUGACAGACUGAUGUCUAGAAAAUAUUGCUCUAUCUCGAACCAUACCUAAAUGUGCUGUGGUUGUGUUUACAGAUUUAUGCUUGAGGAAAAUAUAAUUAUUUCCAUUGUAUUUGUGCAUAUACAGUAGUUGUAAGAGCAGAUUUAUAUAUAGGAAAAUAUAUGACUCUCUUCUAGCCAUCCAGCUUUAUGGACAUUUGAUAUCCUGACAGAUUUACAGCUCUGAGCAGCUAUAUAGAUAAAUGUAUAUCGUUGGAAUUAUGUAUCAGGAGAUAUAUACUUAUUGAUUGUGAUAUAGAGUAGUUAGAGCACUCACUUAGAGCCAUAUAUGGCUCUGGAGAUAUUUCUAUAUUAUUAUCACUAUAUAUAGGCAUAUCUAUUUAUAACUACAUAGUUAUAAAAAUAGACAUAAGUAAUUAUAGUCCUAUAUGUACAUGCUGCUAUCUCGCAAGAGUUAUAGACACUUGCGAAUAUAACUCUAUAGAGAUAUCUGUAUGUA
rnacentral:lncRNA from 1 species